rnacentral:lncRNA from 1 species
ACAUUGAAGCAAUGUUCUAUUAUAGUUGUGUGUGUACGUGYGAGAGGAAAGAGGGUCCAAAGAAGAAGUAACAUCCUUGGGUCCCGUUUCUGGUUGUUAGCAUGUAGCCAGACAG